UGGGACACCAAUCGCGAGCUCUGGAGGCGAGCGGCCAAUCGGAGUGCCGCGAGAGGCAGUGGGCGGGAGGCGCCGCGUGACCGACAGGUCUCGGAGGCAGUGGGCUGCGGGCUGCCGGUGCUGGGCGGGCAAAUCGAGGCGACCCGAGAAGGCAGGAGGCCCAAUGAAGCGGGAGUUCCAGAACUACGGGGCGACUUCAGAACCGGAUUGACGACUCCGGAGAGUCAAGUGGACAGGAAGGAGGGGCCUGGCGAAAGGCCCCUUUGACCAGGCUGGGCGGGCGCCAGGUCGUGGACAGUGUCACCGAUGACAAACUGACCAGGCCACUGGGAUCCUCCAUGUUCCUGCCUGACUUCAACCAGAAACACCUGAGCAUCUGCAAGAGAAGGGGGUCAGCAGGACACUCACGGCGGGCCUGUGUCCACACCAGCCCCGGCACCCCUCUGUGGGACCCGCACCUCAUAGACGGCCAGGUCCGUGCAGGCGUAGGGGAUGAUGCCGAGCAUGUUGGGCAGGUAGCCGCGGUAUAGGGCACGGGUGCCCUCCUGCUUCAGGAUCUGCCUUGCACAGUCCAGCAGCCCCUUGUACUGGCCUGUCCGGCGCAAGGUCAGCCGUGUCUUCAGCACCUGGGGAGGGUGAAGAGGGAGGGGGUUCAUCCGAUGGAAAGCUCUCAUUGGCCCUCAGUGGCAGCCGGCGUUUCUGUCCUCCAGCUGAGGAAGCAGAAGCUGAGGAGUCCAGAGAGCGGACGUUCGAACCCAGAGCCACGUGAUCCCUUGGCUUGUGUGUGCCCUCCACCCAGGGUUCAGAAGCCCCAGUGCUGACAGAGGCAAGAGGAUAAGGGAAGUGGCGUGGACUGAGCGGAGUCACAGCCUAUACCUGGCGGACACAGAUGUAAUGCCAUGGGGGGUGCAGACCCUAGGUGUCCUGGUUUGCCCAUUUUCCAGGAGGAGCCGGACAUAAUCUGUAUGACAUACCCCCAACAUCAAAAUAGUAGCAGCUCUACAGUUGCCUAUAAGACCAAACGCCAAGUUUGAUAGGCAGAAUUCUGAGGUGGUCCCCGAGUUUUCCACCUGAUAUGUAUGCUUCAUAUAAUGCCCGCCCCCUGACCUUGAGUGUGCCCUAGGCCUGUGACUAUGGUGGGGUGUCACUCUCCUUGUCAAGUUACAUGACGAAGGUGAAGGGAUUGUGCAGAUGUAUUGGAGGUCCUGAAGCGCUUGAUUUUAAGUGAAGCAAGACCAAUUGUCCUAGGUGGGCCUGACCAAAUCAGGUGAUCCUUUUAAAUGAGUCUGUUGCCAGAGACAGAAGAAAUCAGAGUGAUGGGGAGCAUCCAGGACACCCUUCAGUUGGUCUUAAAUGAGCAGACUGAUGUGGAGAGGACCACCUGGCAGGGACAGUACAUGGCCUCUAGGAGCUGAGAACCUCAGUCCUACAACCAUAAGAAACCGAAUCCUGCCAGCAACCAAGGAACUUGGCAGAGGACCCAGGCCUCAGGUUCACUGUAGCCCAGCCAACACCUUGAUUUUGGCCUGAUGAAACCCUGAGCAGAGGACCUGACUAGCCAGUGCCCAGGCAUGACCCACAGACAAAGGAGAUAAUAAAUCUGUAUCAUUUUAA